rnacentral:lncRNA from 1 species
UGAGUUUGAUUGCUUUUAGGAACUCGCUGGGGGUUAACGACAUCGGAAAAGGGUAAUGCACCAGUACGUAUUUUUCUCUCGCCGGCGUCCCCGCUACUCCCAGGAUCUCGAUUCGGUGCGGAAUGCCCCAGAGAAACCACCAGCAUAAGGUGCACGCCACGGUGAAAACUUGCAUAGGGUGUAGAGCGAGGCCAUGUCUGCAAUGUGUCGCUAUUAGCUCACGCAAUGCAGCACCCAGCUGACCUUGGGUUCCGGACCAAUUUUUGUAGAAAAGCUCCUCGUGUAGCCUCAACUGCGCAAGGGGAACCGUGAAGAAGUCCUAUGAGAGGGUGGCAGUCGCAAAUGUAUGUGCUUGCGCAGGUACGUCAGCGCAGGCGGUCAUCGUGCGACAUCUGGUUUGUGGACUGCCGUAGGUUCCAUGUCAGAACACCGUGGGAAUAUGGUUGUGGACAGCCACAGGAGGUGAGGCGUGCUUUUGAUUCUCAUUUGGCACUAUGUUGUAUGGAAGUAUGCAGGUGAGCGAGAGCCGAAUGGGUCCUGCGUCCGAGUGUCGGUGAGAGUGGAGUAGGAGAGGUAAGUGAAUGUGGUUGACCGGGUACUUCAGUGCACGGAAACAAGAUGUGACAUCUGAUUUGUGGACUUCCAUGAGCUCUGCGUCGGAACAAUUUAUCUGUGACUGUGAACAGCUUCAAGAAGUGAGGACCGCUUUUGUUUUGCAUUUCGUACUAUGUUGUAUGGAUGAGUAUGCACGAGAACGACAGCCGUAUGGGUGCUGUGCCAGAAUGUUAGAGACAGUGAAGUAGGAGAGGACGAUGAUCAGGGUUGAUCGGGUACCUCGGUGCGCGAGGGCUUGAUAUCAAACCUGAUUUGAGAACUGCUGUGAGGUCGCCGUCAUGACAUCGUUGGAAUGUGGUUGUGAGCAGCAGAAGGAUACGCGGAUCGUUGCCUUCCCCUGCUAUGGCGUGCAAGUUGUUUUUCUGUUUCGGGUUGUCCCUGAAGUGGAUUGCUGUUUUGUGAUGUGGUACAGUGGAGGUGAAUGCUUGCGUUAUGCUAUCAGCACAGAUAAUGCCUUAGAUGGAGCUGUUGCCCGAAUGAAAUUCUAGAUGGCAACGCCGUAGUUCCGCAGCAAAUGGAAGCCACUGGAGGUUUACGAGAGCGUUAUCCUGUAAGGUUGGGGUUUGCAGUGGACUCGCGUAGAGGCACAGAGGAUGCAAGACUCUAAGAACGUAUACAAGGUUUCCGGUUCUGCAUAUUUGGAGAUAAGUGUCCAUCGCCGGUUGAAGUAUCCAGAAGUAGCUUGUGAUGACCUUGGAUGCAAAAGUGGCUCGCACUGCAUUUGCUUCCAUGAACAAUGCUUUUACUGAUAAAAUGCACAGAUACGCAAUACAGUUUCAACCGGAUUUGUGUGACUAACGGAUUUUCUGGAACGUCAUUGUCGUCUUUUGUGGUGGAUCUUCGGUUCAGGAUGGAGCGAUGGUACGUUUGGAUCAAAGCGAUACGUGGGUAACUUCAGGAGUAAGGUCAUUGCUGACCACCCUGUGAAAUCGACGAAUCUACGCUUUGUAUUGUCUCCCAUGGGGGAGCUUUGCUCUCUGGGGCCCGUGUCAUCGUCGCAAGUACAUGCAGCAUUCACUCUUACUCAAUACAGUGCUACUGCGCCCUUGGUAGCUGCCGCGUAAGGCAAGAAACCGGGCAUUGUAACAGGAAGUCACUUUUGAGUAGUCACGACCAACUCGAAACAUGCCUGUAUCAAUUGUUCUGCCAGUGACCCAUUCACAACUGAGUUUCGCGGUGAUAGCCGCUUCAGCUGGUGGUGUUGGCAUGCCACAGAUCCGACUUCUUACGUUCGGUGACGGUGGCUUUUGUUGCCUGUUCUGGUCGCGAGAUGAUUCCAUUGAGCGGGAAGGCUAAAACGUCGCCAUGCACGCCUUCGUACGUUUACCGCUCCCGAAGAAGAUAAGCUCAAAGUAUUUUUGCUGAUGAGACACAUGGGCUCGAAUUCCUCUGUAAAUGUACUACGUCCUUAACCCAGAUCUGACAGCAGCAGAUGAUGCACUUGGAUGCAUCCAGAGAUUGUAUGAUACUUGCAAAUUCUCGCUUUCGCUACUAUUGCAACUUUAGAAGAACAUUUGUUUGUUUCGCCUCUUACGUGCCACCUUAAAUUUGAGAAUCGGCUCCUUGGUCUCCUUUUAAGAGAGUUGUCGCGCAAAAGAUGACCCACCUUGACUGCUUCUAUCCGAUAAAUGGAGUCAUAAUCCUAGGUACCGUAGUGUCUUCGUUUAUUUGAUUUGAGUUCCACAGCUCUGGAUCGCGGAUAAUUUGUAUAGAGACAAUAUCUACUUAGUACGCUGUGAGGAAAGGGAGUGGCCGUAACCUCGUUUUGCCCUGUGGCUACCUUGUCUCUUUCAUGUCGAUGAUACUGAUGUAUAUGCGUUGGAGAAGAUUCCACUAUGUGUGUUGGUGUAUAAAAUGACUAGUGCGCGGCCAGCAUAGCCUUUCGACAGAGUGGAAGCUCAGUUACAGCAGAAAAGCGAGUGAUGCGGAAAUCAGGUGAUUUUGGAACAUUUCGGCUUUGUCGGUUUUCAUUUCGCGCCCGUCGAAUCCACGAAGGGUGUGAGAGAUCCGCAGGUGCGGGCGUCCUACUCCCAAAAAACGUGUAUAUGCAACCUCAUUGAACAGGAUGUACGUUUUUGCCACUUCAAUAGACGGCAAUAAUCAAGCUUGCCUGCAGGGGCAAGAAGUAUUUCUCCAGAGAGCAUGCUGUAGAGCAGGUCAAGAACACGUAGACAUCCUAUAAGCCAGAACCGUGGAUCCGGUACUGAUAAACACUGAUGUGUGUAAACGGUGCUUCGAAAACUAUUCGGUCGAUUAACUUUCAGCAGGUAAGCGACAGGAACACAGUUCCACGAUGUUCUGCUAGUGGAUUGCUGCUUUCUCAUUUGUGUGACUGUCCUAAACUGGCGAAGAAUUAGUGUAUGAACUUUGAGCUGAAUAAACGAAUGCUAAUUCAAAAACUGCAGUAACCACGAGAUGUAACACCUGCCACUGUGUCGGCACCAAAGACAUGUGUAUUCGGUUCCGUCUCUCUAGCAGCUGGGGCUCGAGGAAUGUCUCAAUCGGUUGAAGACUGUAACAGCAACACAAAGAAUUCAGACUUGUGAGGAACCACAUACUGUCGCGGGGUGCGCUAGAAGCCCUUGUCAGUUGAUGCGAAUGGUACUCAGGAUACAGAACUCACAUAGGCCACGUCGUGCUUCAGCAAACACGACAGUGACCUGUCCGCACGUUCUCAGAAUUUCCACAUGUAAAGUGGAACUCGGCAAUGGCGCUCGGAGCCACUUUGGUCUGAUGUACAAGGUGCCCGCUGACAGUCGGAACACGAUCUCGUUGGCUUGCGCGGCAGGAUUUCCGAGUUCAGCAACCUUUUUUCAAGUCCUGUUGUGUAGUUCACGCUUCUGAGUGACGACUCCGCAUGGCUCUGUAGUGGCGUCACGAAUCGGUGUCGAACCGUACUUGUCUGGGUCGCCGUCGUAGAGCGGGGGUGCCUCGUUGUUUAGGCAAUGCGUCACCGGUACGAACGUAAACACAGGCGUACGAGAGGCCGAGAGAGGAGCAAAAACCCAGGAAGUCACGGAAUGUACGGAGCGCCACUUAUUCGUCAUGUAAGGGAGAUAUGGGAUUUUCGCCAGGCAGGAUUGCUGCUGUGGAGAGAGGCACGCAGUUAGUGUGCCUAGAACCCGGCCUGGCUUCUCUUGCUCCUCGCACACUCGAGAACGGUUCUGGAUUUGACAUUGGGGAAGAAAGUGCUCGAGCUGUACAUUGGAAACAGUGUAGUAGUUGUGCCUUUAAUCGUACUGUCUUCCUCAUUCGGACUUUCAAGUCCACUUCGGUUUCACCGCACACGGGUUAAACGUAUCAGGCUCAAUUUGCUCGGUCUUGAUGUGGGUACUUGUGUACUACGAGAUUGCGUUCCGCCGAUCUACAAAGGUGGAUGCUGACGAAUGCUGUUACGUGAUUCAGAUAAAGAAUGUGAGAGACCACAUUCGUAUGUGUGGCCAUGGCCGCGAAAAGGACGAACGCUCAUAGUCGUCUGAGUAGAUGGAUACACGAUGCCUCCACAGGAGUGCGAAGCUGAAGAAACACCACUCAUGUAGCAACGAAGUGCGCAAUGGCCUCGGGGGGUUGCUGCCCGCAUGACCCGAACACGACUGAACGAUCAGGUAUUCACUUAGAGCGGCCAAGGGAAACCAUAAGCAGCAUACUCUUUGUACGGUUCCAAAUGGUUCACGCUCUCGACGCCGAAAACGCAAAAACGCAGCUUUUGACGGUAUGAGUCGGGCCGGUUAGUCACGUUGAGAGGGAGCGGGAAUGCUGGUUGACAGCUGUGUCUCUUCCAGAACAGUUGAUGACACUCAGCUGGUCGUAUAUUUGCCAUGCAUCGCGUUUCCUUUGCGACUGGGUUUGCAUCUGCCGGAAGGUAAUGUCUACAUCGGUUCCAACUAGCCGUCGUUACUCGUCCACAAGUUUGCUGGUGCCUUUCGACGUGCGUCAAAGCGGAGAAACGUGCGAAAUUUGGCUUCUAACUCGUGGCGAAUAUGCAACUGUGGGUCUUGAGGUCAGUGGCAUGUUCUUCUACGUGCCUUAUGUUGGGUUUUUCAACCACGCAUGCCAGCGCUCUUCAUAAGACAUCGCUUGUGUGGUUGGGCGACGUCGCAGUACUGAUUAUCACUCUUGCAGCAGAAUAUACCAGAUGGCCUCUCGCUAUUUUUGUUUUCCGGAACUGGUUGAACGUGCACUUUCUAAUCGAUCUGAGAAGGUCAUACUGUCUGGUAUCAGUUCCGUUAACGCACCCAGCUGGAGUCUUCGUGGAGAUACGCAUUGUGACAUGCUGACGAAAUGUUGCUGAUACAUCAGUGUUGUGUAUGCGGUUACAUGUUCGUGAAAUCCGCCAUGAAAAGCAAUAUUAUAGUGUUGGCAGUCUCCGACGACUUGUCUUUGUGUUGGGUCUGACGAUACAAGCCACAAAUUUCGAUUCACCAAUAGAAUUCGCCUUUCAGUGGCUAAAUGCCAGCUACGAAGGUACUACGUCCUGCUGCAGGAGAAUGAUGAUCGUUACGAUUUCCUGUUGACCCGCGCGGAGGCACCUGCCGUCCUGGAAGCGGUGAUCUCUCAAUUAGACAAGCCGCCGCGCAGGCAACAGCAGAUGUGUUUAAACGCUCAUUAUCCUGACCGCUACUCGAGAUGGCGAAAACCGGUUAUGUAAUAAACGAAGCGGUUAUACUCUCUUCACGUCGACACGGCAGACGGAUGGAGUAACCGUCCUUACUGUGAGGAACAUCGGAACGACUUCCUCUGAGGUAUCUUCAAUAUGUUUAAACUGAGAUGUGUAUUCUGUCUGGUGAUAAGGCAAACGUUAUUCUGGACGACUUCCGACAUUCGUUGUCUCCCUCUGUACGCUGGCCGGUGGAGCUUUGUUGCGCUUGUGAGUCACAGAAUGUGAGUUCUCAGUUGUUUUUAUCGGGAUGCGAUAGCGUGGACGUUUUACGAAGUGUCACAACUUUAGCGAUGUGGGUGUGUCAACGGGAACCAUAGUGACGGCAAAAGACAUUUGGAAGGAUGUGCAUUUGCCAAGGGUACGAAUCGCUACCAAGCUUUGUCAGGAGACAACACCGCAAGGCUUUCGAUGAACUGAAGCCACCCGAAAUGAUGCGAACUGACAGAAUCAGAAAGGAGGCUACAGAGGUGCUCAAGCUAUCUUGGCUGACUACGCGGGACAGUGUUGGGCGUUGUUGACGGGUCAGUAUGUUCAAUUGAAAAGACACAGAAGGGUUCCAUUGCUCCCGCGUCGGACCCGUAUCGCACGGUGAAGAAGGUGAGGAAAAAUAGACCUUGGUGGUGCUUACCAAUCUGCAGAUGUCGUAUACCUGUGAGCGUACAAUGCCGUGAAGGCAUCCAUUUGUUCUUUCGUAUUCAUUACUUCGACCUUACAUGACAGAAACAGGCGCUGACGGAGUCACUCUGUACAAUGCACUCUGAAAUACAGUUUGGAGUGAGUGGAAAUCAUUCUGAUCGUACAACGCAGGCGAUCCGUUGCCUUUGCCGUAUGUCACGGCAAAAACUAGCUUAUUGUUCGCGGUGACUUCUACAAACAAGGAAGCUUUGCGCAGCAAUGAUUCAGUCUGAUAUAUCAACGGGAGGGAUGGAUAUACGCAACGAUGCGUUGUAAGGGCUCCGUGUUUCUCUAUUCUUGUGACUGUGAUAUCGAAUUUCCAACUGUAGAAACAGAGGCUUGCGGAUGUCGUAAUCACAAAGUGUAUGCUUCGCCGACGAACGUGCAUAUUUCUUCGUGUUCGGCGCACGUGUGGAAGCACAGGUUGCUUCGUUGUUAUGGUGCGGAACGUGUCGGCUCUUGUCCCGAAAAAUUGAUAUUCCAUAGUCUCUGUCACUAAAUAUUGACCGUGACUGUUUCCCUUCAUUUGUUCGUGAAGACUGUAUCCCGUAAUGUGGGUGCAGUGACCGCGCACUGAUACAUUGUAGUGACGGAUAGAACCGCCUUCCGCAACUAUAUCGAGCCACAAAUUGUUCAGGAACUUUUCGGGGAUUUUAGGAGUGGCCACGAAGACGAUAGAACCUGUCCACUGUGGUGGCGUCGGUAGACGGCAACUCGGUGUGCGAAAAAAAACUCCUCUUGCAUGGUAGAACGACUGGGGGACACCGUCUUUCAACACCCAAGCGAAUGUUUUGGCUACGAAAUACAGAGGGGCAUUGACUGCUUUUGGGCCGAUGGCAGUGAGAUCCACAACUGACCGGAGAAACAGGAACAUGCUAAGGUAGGUCCUGAAAAGGCAAGUGGCGACGCUGUGGAGGUGAAAUGGCAUCUUCAUAUUGCGACACAGAGGGAGUAAAUAACAGCUUGCACCGAUGCUCAGGUAGGUGACAGCAAGCACCUUCCAAGAGGCGCAUCCGGCCGUGUGCUUUGACGUCCCACCGCCAACGGAUGUUGCUUGAAUUUCCUUCUCAGGAGAAUCCAGUGUAUCACAUUACAGCGAAUGUAUUACUGAGAGAUUUCUUCAGACGGGGGCUUGAUUGUGUAUCAUUUUGAUCUCCAGAGGAGUGUAGCUGACACAUUUACGUCACCUUAUCCUCACUGUAGUUGGCGAACGUAGCGUAUGAUUUCGCUUGAGUCAUAUCAUAGUUGUAUCAAUGUGCGCCGCCACUUCCACUAGCCUUCGUGCAAAAACAAAAAACAACUUCAAUCAAUAGAAAACAUCAUAGUCCCUCUUGCGCGCACAAACUGGCGUUUCUUGCCUUUGUAGCAAGUAAGCUUUUCUUGCUGUGAGGAGCAAAUCCAAAGCUCAUGUACUGCAAGUUAGGAGCAUCGCCGAACCACAAAAUAUAGCCG